GCGAAAGUGGCGAAAUUGGUAGACGCACUGGAUUUAGGUUCCAGCGGGCAACCCCCGUGAGAGUUCGAGUCUCUCCUUUCGCACCA
rnacentral:tRNA from 1 species